rnacentral:rRNA from 1 species
UACGAAGGGUGCUAGCGUUGCUCGGAAUCACUGGGCGUAAAGCGCACGUAGGCGGAUUGUUAAGUCAGGGGUGAAAUCCUGGAGCUCAACUCCAGAACUGCCUUUGAUACUGAGGAUCUUGAGUUCGGGAGAGGUGAGUGGAACUGCGAGUGUAGAGGUGAAAUUCGUAGAUAUUCGCAAGAACACCAGUGGCGAAGGCGGCUCACUGGCCCGAUACUGACGCUGAGGCACGAAAGCGUGGGGAGCAAACAGG